GGUACUUUUUCUUUAAUGAUUUCGAAUGGUUUACGAACAAAAUGAGCUUGAAAUUGAGUUUUUUCGUUAUAAAGCUAAGAACUAACUGUUCUAAAUUGUUAUGAUAACUUGACCAUUAUAGUGAACUCAACUAAAUAGAACAGGAACUAGUUUUACAAUUAAUCCAAUCAUUUAGCGGACGUUCGAUAAUCGAAUCCGUAAAAGAAAACUCCACCCGUUAGGUGAAAAAAAAGAAAAAAUUUUAUGUGGUUUCAUAUUUUUUUAAUUUUAAUACUAUGUGAUUUCGUAUUUUUUUAUUUUAGUACUAUGCGGUUUAAAAUGUAUCAAUUUAGUACAUUCCGUAGUUUUUUUUUUUUUUUUAUUUUAUCUACUAAUUUUUUUAAUUAAAUCAGUGAUAAAGUUAAAACUAAAA
rnacentral:lncRNA from 1 species